GUUGAAGGUUGGGUAACACUAACUGGAGGACCGAACCGACUAAUGUUGAAAAAUUAGCGGAUGACCUGUGGCUGGGGGUGAAAGGCCAAUCAAACCGGGAGAUAGCUGGUUCUCCCCGAAAGCUAUUUAGGUAGCGCCUCGUGAAUUCAUCUCCGGGGGUAGAGCACUGUUUCGGCUAGGGGGCCAUCCCGGCUUACCAACCCGAUGCAAACUGCGAAUACCGGAGAAUGUUAUCACGGGAGACACACGGCGGGUGCUAACGUCCGUCGUGAAGAGGGAAACAACCCAGACCGCCAGCUAAGGUCCCAAAGUCAUGGUUAAGUGGGAAACGAUGUGGGAAGGCCCAGACAGCCAGGAUGUUGGCUUAGAAGCAGCCAUCAUUUAAAGAAAGCGUAAUAGCUCACUGGUCGAGUCGGCCUGCGCGGAAGAUGUAACGGGGCUAAACCAUGCACCGAAGCUGCGGCAGCGAACGUAUCACCCAAGACAACUUUACGGAGUUGACGAUUGACGGAGCGAAGCGACGUCAAAGCGUUCAUUAAAGUCGAGUUGGCUUAGGGAUACGUUCGUUGGGUAGGGGAGCGUUCUGUAAGCCUGUGAAGGUGUGUCGUGAGGCAUGCUGGAGGUAUCAGAAGUGCGAAUGCUGACAUAAGUAACGAUAAAGCGGGUGAAAAGCCCGCUCGCCGGAAGACCAAGGGUUCCUGUCCAACGUUAAUCGGGGCAGGGUGAGUCGACCCCUAAGGCGAGGCCGAAAGGCGUAGUCGAUGGGAAACGGGUUAAUAUUCCCGUACUUGGUGUUACUGCGAAGGGGGGACGGAGAAGGCUAUGUUGGCCGGGCGACGGUUGUCCCGGUUUAAGCGUGUAGGUGUGUGUUCCAGGUAAAUCCGGUUCACUUUAACACUGAGGCGUGACGACGAGGCACUACGGUGCUGAAGCAACAAAUGCCCUGCUUCCAGGAAAAGCCUCUAAGCAUCAGGUAACAUCAAAUCGUACCCCAAACCGACACAGGUGGUCAGGUAGAGAAUACCAAGGCGCUUGAGAGAACUCGGGUGAAGGAACUAGGCAAAAUGGUGCCGUAACUUCGGGAGAAGGCACGCUGACACGUAGGUGAAGUGAUUUACUCAUGGAGCUGAAGUCAGUCGAAGAUACCAGCUGGCUGCAACUGUUUAUUAAAAACACAGCACUGUGCAAACACGAAAGUGGACGUAUACGGUGUGACGCCUGCCCGGUGCCGGAAGGUUAAUUGAUGGGGUCAGCGCAAGCGAAGCUCCUGAUCGAAGCCCCGGUAAACGGCGGCCGUAACUAUAACGGUCCUAAGGUAGCGAAAUUCCUUGUCGGGUAAGUUCCGACCUGCACGAAUGGCGUAAUGAUGGCCAGGCUGUCUCCACCCGAGACUCAGUGAAAUUGAACUCGCUGUGAAGAUGCAGUGUACCCGCGGCA
rnacentral:rRNA from 1 species